rnacentral:rRNA from 1 species
UGGCGACGGGUGAGUAACACGUUGGAACCUGCCCCAAAGUGAGGAAUAAGCACCGAAAGGUGGUCUAAUACUUCAUAAUAUCCAUCUCGUAUGGAUUAAAGCUUUAUGCGCUUUGGGAGGGGCCUGCGUAACAUUAGCUUGUUGGUGAGGUAAAAGCUCACCAAGGCUUCGAUGUUUAACUGGUUUGAGAGGAUGACCAGUCACACUGGGACUGAGAUACGGCCCAGACUCCUACGGGAGGCAGCAGUAAGGAAUCUUCCACAAUGGGGGCAACCCUGAUGGAGCAAUACCGCGUGCAGGAUGAAGCGUUUCGGCGUGUAAACUGCUUUUAUCACCGAAGAUUAUGACUGUAGGUGAAGAAUAAGGACCGGCUAACUACGUG